rnacentral:rRNA from 1 species
AUUGAACGCUGGCGGCAUGCCUUACACAUGCAAGUCGAACGGCAGCACGGGAGCAAUCCUGGUGGCGAGUGGCGAACGGGUGAGUAAUAUAUCGGAACGUGCCCAGUCGUGGGGAUAACGUAGCGAAAGCUACGCUAAUACCGCAUACGAUCUAUGGAUGAAAGCGGGGGAUCGCAAGACCUCGCGCGAUUGGAGCGGCCGAUAUCAGAUUAGGUAGUUGGUGAGGUAAAGGCUCACCAAGCCAACGAUCUGUAGCUGGUCUGAGAGGACGACCAGCCACACUGGAACUGAGACACGGUCCAGACUCCUACGGGAGGCAGCAGUGGGGAAUUUUUGGACAAUGGACGCAAGUCUGAUCCAGCCAUUCCGCGUGCAGGAUGAAG